AGCAGCCGCGGUAAUUCCAGCUCCAAUAGCGUAUAUUAAAGUUGUUGCAGUUAAAAAGCUCGUAGUUGAAUUUCGGGAUCAAUGUUUCGGUCAUGCCGUUGGUAUGUACUGAUAUUAUUGGUUUCUCACCUUCUAAAGAACCGUAAUGCCAUUAAUUUGGUGUCACGGGGAAUUAGGACUGUUACCUUGAAAAAAUUAGAGUGUUUAAAGCAGGCUCACGCUUGAAUACAUUAGCAUGGAAUAAUGAAAUAGGACAUCCGAUUCUAUUUUGUUGGUUUCUAGGAUCGAUGUAAUGAUUAGUAGGGAUAGUUGGGGGCAUUAGUAUUCAAUUGUCAGAGGUGAAAUUCUUGGAUUUAUUGAAGACUAACUACUGCGAAAGCAUUUGCCAAGGAUGUUUUCAUUAAUCAAGAACGAAAGUUAGGGGAUCGAAGACGAUCAGAUACCGUCGUAGUCUUAACCAUAAACUAUGCCGACUAGGGAUCGGAUGAUGUUAAUUUUUUAAUGACUCAUUCGGCGCCUUACG
rnacentral:rRNA from 1 species